rnacentral:lncRNA from 1 species
AGACUGAAUUCAAUGUUCUGCCUUGCCAGUUCACGCUCGCACACCACUAAAUAUGAUUUGCAUUCUCAUUUCACAGAUGAAACUGCGUCCCGUGAAGAGAAUAGACACAGACGGUGGAGGUUUUGAAGGCUCCCAUAGACUGGAGAGUCGCCACGGUGGCUUUGCUGCGCACGCGGCCUUCCUUCAGCUGCUCAACAGUCCGUGGCCACAGCUGCCUGGCUGCUCGUCCAAUCGGAGGCGGCUCCGGAGUCGAGCACGCGGCCCCUCCAGCCCGUGGAGCCGUGCUGUCGUAGCAGAUGCACGAGGGGGACCUGGCGUUGUCCCGCUGAAAUGUCCAGCCAAGGGAGAGAUGCCGAUCUUUCUACUUCACACAUACAGCAUUUGCUACCAUCAUCGCUGUCUGGUCCAACUGUUGGCUCGGGUUCCCCAGUGGCCGAGGCGCCGCGUUCUCUACCAGUCGCUCGCGCUUCAAUUUAAUAGUAAGUUCACAGCGUCGCAGAC